AGUUAAUGAGUCUGAAAUAGACAUAUAUUUUGAAAAUAUAGAAUAGAAUUAAUAUUUUCUAUUAACUU
rnacentral:tRNA from 1 species